AACACGUUUCCACAAUGCAAAUAAUAACAAAAUAACCACGUUGUUACGUGUUAGUUGACAUUUGUAUUGUGGUCAGACAUGACCUGAAUGUAGAACCUUUGAACUGGAAGUAUUCUAUAGAUUUUAGGCCAUGGUUUCCUGAUCAAAAUGUUGCUUCUUAUGGAUUCAGUGAUCAUGUUCACCUCACAGGUGCUGUUCUUUGGCUUUGGGUGGCUGUUCUUCAUGCGGCAGCUGUUCAAAGACUAUGAGUUCCAGGUAUUUCCACUGGAAGUUCAACCUGUAUGUGAUUCUACUGGUUCUAAUCUUCGUAGUGCCUUUUUAUAUUGGCUACUUUGUCGUCAGCAACAUCC